rnacentral:rRNA from 1 species
GUCCACGCCGUAAACUAUGAGAGCUAGCCGUUGGGGGAUUUAUCCCUCAGUGGCGCAGCUAACGCUUUAAGCUCUCCGCCUGGGGAGUACGGUCGCAAGAUUAAAACUCAAAGGAAUUUACGGGGGCCCGCACAAGCGGUGGAGCAUGUGGUUUAAUUCGAAGCAACGCGAAGAACCUUACCAGCCCCUUGACAUGGUCGGACGGUUUCCAGAGAUGGAUUCCUUCACUUCGGUGACUGACACACAGGUGCUGCAUGGCUGUCGU